AAGAUGACCGAGCAACAAUGGGCUUCUGUGUUUCACAAGUCUUGGUGGUUUGUCCCAGGUUCAAAAAGAGGAAGCCUUGAGUGACUGGUCACCUUCUCUCAGCAUGUUUCUUCCCACCCAGACAGAGUCACAUACAGAAAAGAAAACAGAUAAUGCAUUGAAAUUGAACCCAGCAUAGAGAGGCUGAGUGAAUGUGGUCUGGACUCUGUGAAU